UGUGACUUUGAGGUCUUGGAGGAGGCAAGCAUGUUGACCAGGGUACGGAAGGACCCGUGCAGCCCAGAGAACAUCUAAGGUUUGUGGUCAGAAGCAAAGCAAGAUCACUCACCAUGUUGGCGGCUUAGAAGUCUAUCAGAUUAAGGUUACAUAGAACCAAAGGGAUAAAUCCUUGGUGACCUGCGGAUGGAGAGGUAACAGGCCAGUGAGGUCUGGGGGGUAGUGCUCCCAUCUCUCCCAGGAAGGAAGUGAAGAGAAAGCAGUCGUGCUGAAGACUUCUGACUGAUUAAUAUGGCUAAAGCCUGUGGACACAGCUGCUUAUAUCUCCAGUUCACACUUCCUUACCAACUCCUCAGCAUAGUCUUCUUGAUAGUGCAAUGCUCUGGUUCUGCUCUCUGCUGCGCUAGUGGAAUCUGGCACCAACUACAUGCACAGGAACUGCAGAUUAUAUAACACAAGGGAUUACAGCGUGUUUCAUGGACACAAAGUGUCCUGUAGUUGGAAUGCAGAUGAUCUAGACCAUGCUUUGUAACCUGCUGAGGAAGCCAUGGAGAACCGUAGGGAUGGACAAAGUUGCCUAAGACUUAGUACCAUAUUACUGCAGAGCUAAGACCAUAAUCUAAGGCUCAUGGGUCUCAUUCUA